GGAAAGAUGUAUCCUUCUGACUGAGGGCCACAGAAUGGAAGUUUCCCUGGUUCAGCACCAUUCGGAUCAGCCUCCAGUGGUGGAGCUUCUUAUGGAGCCCCAGCAGCAGUUUAAAGCUGUUUUUUCAGCAGUACAAUCGUCCAUAGGAGUCUGAGGUUCUCUUUUUGGAUCUAAAAGAGACCAGUCAUGUCUCCAAGUUCUCCUGGAGUAGUUUCUACUAAUUAAUAAUCUCAUCAGUCUUAUGGCCUAAAAAUGAAUAUGAUAACCCAAGAAGGAAACAUAGAAGAUAAGAUAAGAAGGAAAGAAAACUAGGACAAACAAGAUCGGAAAGAAAUGAUAAUAAUGUGAACAAUGAAAGGGUACAUUUAUGACAUUUACUGGAGUCCCACCUUCUGUCCCUAAUCAUCACAAGAACUGCCGGCAACACCACCACCAUUUCUUUGCUGAGCCGAUGGGGAACAAUUUGGCUGAAGGACCAUCUAUCUCCUGGGAAGUAGUGGUUCCAUAGGGCAGCUAUCACCAGGUGUUGACAUUCCAUCCUGACUCCUCACUUCAAUGUCUAUCCAUACUAGAGCUGAUCACAAAUUUUCUGAUGAAUAGGUUUUUUAAAUUACUUUUUUGAAUAA